rnacentral:rRNA from 1 species
GCUCAGAAACUUAAAGGAAUUGACGGGGCCCGCACAAGCGGUGGAGUAUGUGGUUUAAUUCGAUGCAACGCGAAGAACCUUACCUGGUCUUGACAUCCCGGAGACCCUUAGGAAACUAGGGGUGCUUCCAUCUGGAAGAAUCUGGAGACAGGUGCUGCAUGGCUGUCGUCAGCUCGUGUCGUGAGAUGUUGGGUUAAGUCCCGCAACGAGCGCAACCCUUGCCUUUAGUUGCCAGCAGUUCGGCUGGGCACUCUAAAGGGACUGCCGGUGUUAAACCGGAGGAAGGUGGGGAUGACGUCAAGUCCUCAUGGCCUUUAUGACCAGGGCUACACACGUACUACAAUGGCCGAUACAAAGGGCAGCGACACUGCGAGGUGAAGCCAAUCCCGUAAAAUCGGUCUCAGUCCGGAUUGGAGUCUGCAACUCGACUCCAUGAAGUUGGAAUCGCUAGUAAUCGUGGAUCAGCAUGCCACGGUGAAUACGUUCCCGGGCCUU